GACGUAGGUGGCGAACGUUAUCCGGAAUUAUUGGGCGUAAAGGAUGCGUAGAUGGUGUAGUAAGUUAUCGGUGGCAAAUCGAGGCUCAACCUCGUGGAAGUCGGUAAUACUGCUAUGCUAGAGGAUAGGAGAGGUUAACGGAACUCCCUGUGGAGCGGUGAAAUGCGUAGAUAUAGGGAAGAACACCAAUCAGGCGAAGGCAGUUAACUAUUCUACCUCUGACAUUGAGGCAUGAAAGCGUGGGGAGCAAAACGG
rnacentral:rRNA from 1 species